rnacentral:rRNA from 1 species
AGUGAACGCUGGCGGUAGGCCUAACACAUGCAAGUCGAACGGCAGCACAGUAAGAGCUUGCUCUUACGGGUGGCGAGUGGCGGACGGGUGAGGAAUACAUCGGAAUCUACUUUUUCGUGGGGGAUAACGUAGGGAAACUUACGCUAAUACCGCAUACGACCUACGGGUGAAAGCAGGGGAUCUUCGGACCUUGCGCGAUUGAAUGAGCCGAUGUCGGAUUAGCUAGUUGGCGGGGUAAAGGCCCACCAAGGCGACGAUCCGUAGCUGGUCUGAGAGGAUGAGCAGCCACACUGGAACUGAGACACGGUCCAGACUCCUACGGGAGGCAGCAGUGGGGAAUAUUGGACAAUGGGCGCAAGCCUGAUCCAGCCAUACCGCGUGGGUGAAGAAGGCCUUCGGGUUGUAAAGCCCUUUUGUUGGGAAAGAAAAGCAGCAGGUUAAUACCUCGCUGUUCUGACGGUACCCAAAGAAUAAGCACCGGCUAACUUCGUG